rnacentral:lncRNA from 1 species
GCAUCAUUGUGCAGCCACUCAUUAUCCUGUGUCCAGUUACUUAGCACCCAAGCAUCUGCUUCCCCUCUGUGAAGAAUUCAGUGAUGGAAAUUAGGAAGACCUUGGACUUAAUGGGCUCUGCGCAUGUAAUUGUCUAAGGGUACAAUGGGCCUUUUAUGAUCGCAAUAAGAACACGGAGCCCUUCUCCAGUUGGCAUGGAGCUUUCCUUCUUGUCACUAAGGUAAAGGCAUCGUGAUGUCUGUGGGGGCAGGUAAUGAGGCACAAAGGUCUGCUAUGUGGAGAGUUGGUCCAGCAGGGAGAGAAGAAGGUGAGAAAACAGCCUCGGCACUGCUCGUCUGAAGACACGAUGAAUAGCCUUUGCCUGCCACGUUCAGCCCUCCUGCACAAGCAGGCUCGGGGCCAGAGGCUCUUGAACGCAGGUACCAAUUCUUGGAGUCUUUCUUUCCUAAAUGCGUCUUGUAGCCGUCCCCCGUCCUCUCCAAGAUCUGCCACCACUUUCUUUCUGGAUCUCAAUAUCUCUCGGCUGGGCUUCACCAACUGUCUUGUAACUGCUAUUAUUGAAUUAGUUUCUCCUACUCCCAACCUCUCCUCCACAGGGCCAUCAGAAAGCCUUCGCUGAAGCCAUCUGGGAUCGCAUCAGUCUGGGCAUAAAGCACCUCCUGGUUCCCAAGUCUGGAACAUGGGCAAGCCUGCCCCACAUGGCCCCUGUUCCAAUCAUGCUCGCCUCCAGCCAUCUGAAACUCUUGCCCUGGAAACUCCAUGCUCUGUCUUGACUCCUAGCCUUUGCAUAUGCUGAACCUUCCACCUGGCACAGCAUUCUCAGCAAGGGGUUAAAAGUAUAGACUCCAGAGUUAGAUAACCUGGGUUUGAAUCCUGGGACCAUCAUGUCUUGGCCAUGUACUCAACAACCUCUCUAAGUGUCAUUUCAUCAUGGUUAACAUAGAGAACAAAAAUCAUAAUACCUAUCUCAUAACUUUGUCACUAGGGUUAAACAAGAUAAUCCAUAUAAAGCAAUUAGCCCAGUGCCAGGCAUGCAGUAAGCACUUAAUAAAUGCAAGUAAUGAUGAUGAUGAUGAGCCUCUCUUAUAAGCCAGGUCAUUGAAAGGCAAUGAUGGUACAGAGAUGAGUAAGUUGUUUUGCAUUGUUUAUCUCAUCUUUUCAACUAAAUAUGGAAUUAUUCAAUUUUCUUUUCUUGUUUCCUCCUGUUUCCCACAGAUAGAGAGCAAUGCAUGAGAUAGGUAAUCAAUAAAUGCUCACUGGAAGGAUGAAUGAAUGGAUUCAUUCAAUGGAUGAACUGAAUGUUUUACCCAAUAUAAUUCUUUAAAAGAAAAAGACAAAAAUGACGCUAAGAAACACACAAAAUAAAUUUAAAGGUUAAUACAAAAAUUGCAAAUGCCAGGCAGGAAAAAGAAACACUUUUUCCAACUGAGAACCAUUGAAGCUAAGUCCUUUAAUUACCGCCAUCUGGAGUGGAGGUGAGCGCCAUUUGGCUGGAGCUCAUUCAUUCCCCAUCACGCCUGGCUUGAACUGCCUUCCACAGUGUCUACGUCCAGACGCCUUCGAGUAACAUAGUCAAUGUGCACAGUACAUCACAGGCUGCAAAGCUCUACCUCACCAUGGAUCCCAAAUGGUGCUCAGACCAAGUCUGAGACAGGGAGGGUAGGAAACACUGUCCCAUUCUACACAUGAGGAAACUGAGGCUAGAUACAAGCCCAGCAACCUGCCCAAGGCCAGUAAGCUCAAAGUCACGAGCCAGGUCUAGAAUUUGGGUCUUUGGGGUCUAAAUUCCAUACGUUAAGCUGCCCUCAUCUUCUGGGUGACGUGUGCAAGGGCAUCCUUCUGCCUCUCUCUUCUUAUCCAUUCCAAGGAAGGCUGCUCACCUGCAAGGGAGCAAGAGUUCAUCUGCCCUAAUGCAGAGUGAUAGGAAGUCCAGGAGAAGGAAAACAAAAGGAACGGCAUGGAAGAAAGGAAGAGGGCACCAGAUGUGACGAUUUGCUGUAGUUGGGUAUUUUUCAAGAAUAAAAUAGACAUCUAGAGGAGGCAUGGGAUCCUUUCUUCCCAAGCAUCUUUCUUUUUGGCCUGGGUUGCUACAAGACCCCAAAUUGGAGCUUGCCCUGUUGCCUCCAAAAAAAGCAAAGGGUUCUUUGGCUGCUAACACCUGUCUCACUGGCUCCUCCCAGAGGCAGAUUUAUUUCCAGGUGCAGAGCAACCAUUUUGGGGACACACUAUUUGAUCAGAAGUGGUUUUCUGUGGAAUCCUAUGACGAUGAAUAAGGUAUUCUUAAGUCCCCAAAUGGGGAUGCUGGCAGAAGCAUCACGGGCAGGGGAGGCAAUUCAGCAUCCAGGAGAUGUGUCUAGCCUAGUGAGGACACAUCCCCCCACUCCCCCACCCCCUGCCCAUGAUUGGAAGGUCCAUUGUAAUCAACCUGCCAUCAGGUGGCUGGCUGGACCUCAAGGAAGGUGCCAUAUUGGGGGCGCGGUGGGGUCUCGGCUGUUUGCAGGUCAGGCAUGCUGUGGUAGAGUUGGCAGCCGUUGCCACCAGAAUAUUAACAGAGGGGACUUCUGGGUAAUGAGAUGACAAAUUGUUAUCCUUGCCUUUUUGCUGGUUAUAUUUCCUAAUUUCUC